UCGUUUAUUUUAGGUUGCGUAGAGAACCCUACUGAAGUACAAUCGACGAGCAGUAGCGUCUAGACAAACACUGCCCCCAAGCCGGUUUCCAAUGCAUCAGCUUUCUACAGUAGAGGGCGCCAGAUUGCUGGUUACUCUGCCACGGAUGCAUUGCUACAAUCAAGGCAAACCAACUCUAACGUCACGGUAAAGCGUACCCCUGGAUUCCUGAGCGUCUCUAACUCAAAGAGGUUGUACCCGAUCACAAGCUACCCGGCUGGAGGCAGAAGAGCAUCCCCACAGCAGUCAAGACGUCUCAGAUCAGUCUACAAGGAUUCUCAAAUCUUGGUAAUACGUGUUACAUGAACGCCAUUCUCCAGUCGCUAUUCUGUCUGGAAUGCUUCACUGCAGACAUGCAGAAUCAAGACAUCAUUCCACUCAUGCAGAAAUCAAGUCUCUACUGGGGGUCCAGUUCUUCCCACAACAGCCAAUGCGGGCACAGUCCAGCAUCAAUGGACGUGUAGAGCAGACGAACGAAACGGAAUUUCUAGUUUUACCAGCUCUAAAUCUGCCAACAGAAGAUGAUGUAGACCUUUUAUUUCAGUGCAAAAGCUGCCCAGUGGAUUUUUAUCAACAGUCGAUGUAUAGCACUGAUGUAGUCCAAGAUGGCGGCAAGUCACCAUCGGAGGAGCAGGGGGGACCGCUACACCUCUAAUAUCAGCUCAACAUCUGGCAUCUUGGAGUACAGCUAUGUGCAUGAUGCAAAUACAAAUGGUGCCCGUAAUGGCAAUGGCUUCACUGUACGCAAACUCAUUCUAACCCGAUCGGGUCGAUCCAGACGGCGCUGGAGCAGUUCUUCAGAGAGGAGGGUAUAGAGUAUGCCUGCGGAGAAUGUGACUGCAAGCAGGCUAUAGUCACGCAUAAGUUCACUAAGCUACCAAGGGUAAUUAUCAUUCAUCUUAAGCGCUACAAAUUUGACGCCUGACGCCUUCCAGUACUCCAAGCUCCGUCGCCGCAUCCUCAUACCCAGGUACUUGUCUGUCCACUACCACUGCACCAAGGAAACCCAGAGUCCAACCUCUCUCCUAAAGUCAUUAGUCAACGGGACGUCAUCUCCAAGGCCACAACAACUCAAUGCCGAGAGAACUCAAAGGUUGUCCCUCACAGCCCCGUCGACGAGGGAAUCUAAUUGGUCUGCAAGGAGCGAGUCGUUUAAGCCCUCGCGCUUCAGUUUUGCGCCCUCAAGGAAGAGGCUGAACUAUGACGACAACAGUAAACAACCAAGGCAAACCAUUCUCCUGGAAAGUAACACAGACUCAGACGAUGACGAGACCAAAAAAGUCUUAGAGAUGAGUAAAAAAGAGUCAGAGAGAAAAAAGCGAGAGGCAGAUGAGAGGUUGCGGCUUGAGGAAGAAGAAUUGAAAAAGGAAUCCUUGAGAAGAUGACACUCUGAGAUGUGCAGGAAGAUGUGUGGGGAGGCAGCCCACCUGCAAGGCCUCCCCUGAAAUGGCUGCUGAAGAGACACGAGUACAUAAAGUGCCAUAGAAGCUUUACUGAAAUUAGUGAAAUAUGCCAUCAUCCUGCAAUACACACAUGGUCUAAAAGAGAAAUGACAAGACAAGCACAUAAGAAAAUGAGAUGAUGGAAAACCUCUUUAGUUGUUUGUGUUCUGCUCAGAUGUUGCCUAGCGACAAGGGAUGCUCAGUACUUUGAUAACAUCUUCUCCACAUUGGGAGAGAUUGAAAGAGAACAGGUGAUGAGGAGGGUGACUCCAGGAAUGCGGCCCCAUUACAAUGUGAGCAUGAGGCGACCACGGACACAUGUUUAUGCCAGACUGCAACACUGUACUAAUGAAACUCAAUGCAUGCAUCAAGGACAUUCACCAAAGAGCCACUGCAAACAAGAUGAUGCUUAAUGCUGCAAAGCAUUGGUUCUUCAUUUUACAUCAAGAUUUUCACAACAGCCACUUCCAGUCAUUUCCAUCACGGUUGGUGAUGUGAAACCACUCAACGAAAGCCAGAAAUCUCUGUGCAGUCAUGGAUGAACAUCUACAUGUAUCACCGAAGGCCCAUGUCUCUACCCUAUAUGCCGCUCUUAAAUUACUGUCAUCCAAAGAUGUUUUAAAUUUAGAAAAUAAUGAUCCACACAAAUACACCUGGAAAUUGUUUAGUUUUCCUUGGCCGUCU